AGCAAAGUAAAGGAAGAUAAAUUUAAAGGAAGUCUUUCUGAAGGAAUGAAAGUUGAGCAGGAAUCUUCGUCUGAUGAUAACCUUGAAGACUUUGAUGUAGAGGAAGAAGAUGAAGAAGCCCUAAUAGAACAGAGAAGAAUCCAAAGGCAGGCAAUUGUUCAGAAAUAUAAAUACCUUGCUGAAGAUAGCAACAUGUCUGUGCCAUCUGAACCAAGCAGCCCCCAGAGCAGUACGAGAACACGAUCACCAUCUCCAGAUGACAUUCUGGAGCGAGUAGCUGCUGAUGUUAAAGAGUAUGAACGGGAAAAUGUUGAUACAUUUGAGGCCUCAGUGAAAGCCAAGCAUAAUCUAAUGACAGUUGAACAGAAUAAUGGUGAGAGAGUUUUGUCCUGGCGACGCUUUUCUCUGAAUUUUUAGCUCUGUAACUUUAUAAUAAGAGACCUUAUUUGGGGUGGGAUUGGGAAAAGUAAAAGAUUAGACAUGUUGCUUCUGCUGAAUAUUGCAGUAAUAUAAUAUUAAAUAUGUCCUUACAAAUGUUCUCUAUAAAUGUGUUUUUAUUAGUUCACAUAUCCUGAA
rnacentral:sRNA from 1 species